rnacentral:rRNA from 1 species
GAGUUUGAUCCUGGCUCAGAUUGAACGCUGGCGGCAGGCUUAACACAUGCAAGUCGAACGGUAGCAGGAGAAAGCUUGCUUUCUUGCUGACGAGUGGCGGACGGGUGAGUAACGCUUGGGAAUCUGGCUUAUGGAGGGGGAUAACUACGGGAAACUGUAGCUAAUACCGCGUAGUAUCGAGAGAUGAAAGGGUGGGACCUUCGGGCCACCUGCCAUAAGAUGAGCCCAAGUGGGAUUAGGUAGUUGGUGGGGUAAAGGCCUACCAAGCCGACGAUCUCUAGCUGGUCUGAGAGGAUGACCAGCCACACUGGAACUGAGACACGGUCCAGACUCCUACGGGAGGCAGCAGUGGGGAAUAUUGCACAAUGGGGGGAACCCUGAUGCAGCCAUGCCGCGUGAAUGAAGAAGGCCUUCGGGUUGUAAAGUUCUUUCGGUGAUGAGGAAGGGUGGUGUUUUAAUAGAGCACUACAUUGACGUUAGUCACAGAAGAAGCACCGGCUAACUCCGUGCCAGCAGCCGCGGUAAUACGGAGGGUGCAAGCGUUAAUCGGAAUGACUGGGCGUAAAGGGCACGCAGGCGGUGACUUAAGUGAGAUGUGAAAGCCCCGAGCUUAACUUGGGAAUUGCAUUUCAUACUGGGUUGCUAGAGUAUUUUAGGGAGGGGUAGAAUUCCACGUGUAGCGGUGAAAUGCGUAGA